ensembl:lncRNA
UAGUUUCUGGAAUUGUUUUUGCUUACUGCUCGAGCUUCUUCUGCCAUUUCAUCUCGUUGUGGAGGAAGGAGGCCUGUUGGAAGAAGUGUGUGACCUUGCUGCCUCUGCUCGUUCCUGCUCAGUGGUGUUGAACACACGGAACUUGGACUCCUCCAUCAGGAACUCACAGAUGGGAUGAAUGGGGGACACGAUCUGCUCCAUGCUGGCGGUCCUCACGCACAAUCUGACCGGAAGACAGGCGGACCGGGACAAGUUAGGACAGUGGUUUGCAGUCGGGCACUUCAGUUCGAGUGAACUUCAGACUAUUCACAAUGAGCAAGCUUGACUACUGUAGUACGGUGUGAAUUGAGGGGAGAAGUGGCGUGUGGAGACCUCUAUCUGUGAAGUUGUUGGUCAUAGAGAACUCCCGUGUGGUCCUGCUCCUCGAUCUCCAACGGCACCGUAUAUUUCAACAUCUGAGAGAGAGAGGUCUCGUGUUCAGAGUUCACGCUAGCAGGAGUCAACAGGAGAACAGAGAAACAGAGGUUCAGCUUCAGAGGAAGGUCAACCGGAGAAAACAGAGGUUCAGCUACAGGAAGUCAACAGGAGAAACAGAGGUUCAGCUACAGGAAGUCAACAGGAGAAACAGAGGUUCAGCUACAGGAAGUCAACAGGAGAAACAGAGGUUCAGCUACAGGAAGUCAACGGAAGAAACUCUCCUGCUCUUUUUGAACUUUUCCUGUUGAAAAACAAUAUCCCAGUAAUGUACACACGCUUAAAGGUAAAAUAAAAUAUAUAGUUUGAGCACCUUCUACCCCCCCAAGAAGACUGGAGUAGGACUAACAACAUCAGAGAGCAUCAUUAGUGAAUCAAAACAUCCUGGCUUUCCCCAUUCAGCUUGUGUUUCCAUUCUAGAUCCACAGCUACUCCUUCCAAGGCAUGGUUUAUGUUAAACCGUUUCCAGGCAUAUAAACGAAGUACGGAUAUGCAAAUAUCCCCAUUUGACGGCAUGAUGCUUGCAAUGCCAGGAUAGUAGGUUUGAUUCCCGGUCCCACUCAUAUGUAAAAAAAAAAUAAAUAAAUAAAUAAAUAAAAAUAAUGUUUUAAAAAAAAAUGUAUGCUCAGAUGACUAAGACGCUUUGGAUAAAAGCGUCUGCUAAUUAUCUUAUUAUAUUAAAAUCCGUUGUUAAACAAAGAUUGCAGUGAGUCUGCUACCAUUGAUGCGAGCAGCUGUAGCAUAGACGUAGAGGUAAUGUGAAGGGAGGCCGUUCACAGGACAACUUCCUCCAAUUAAUAAGAAAACCAGAUACACUGAAACCUUGUACAAACGAACAGACUUUAAAAUAAACACACGUUAGAAAGGCUACAAAGAAUGAACAGACAAACGUGAUGAAACGAGAGCGAGAAACACUGACCAUAGAGGAUAUACCCUCCUCUCCUGCUUCGGUCCUCUUUGCAGGUUUCAGCAGAUUGAGCAGGAUCUUAUUGUGCCUCGCCAGCUGACCAAAACAUGGCCCACAAUCAUAAGCAUAACAGGUGAAAGCAUUAUUCUCUAACAUUAACUAAUUACGUUAUUAAAGGAGUGCAUCAAUAUACUUCGUUAAUCUGAAGAGGACCAUUACCUGAAGUGCCAGGAUGUAAAUGUUGUGGCCGACCUCUUGAGGUGACACCACUCCAACUUCACACUCACUCUCCUGCUGAUAGGCUUUCUUUAUCACCUCUACCUGGGGGCAGAGUAGAAUACUGAUGUAGGCUGACGUCUACUGUACAAUUCUGUACCGUUCA